GACGAACGCUGGCGGCGUGCUUAACACAUGCCAGUCGAACGGAAAGGCCUGCUUUCCCUUGUGGAUUGCGGGUACUCGAGUGGCGAACGGGUGAGUAACACGUGAGUGAUCUGCCCCCAACUUGGGUAUAAGCCUGGGAAACUGGGUCUAAUUCCCGAUAGGACUGCAGGGUGGUGCCGGUGGUGGAAAACGAUUUUCUAGUGGUUGGGGAUGAGCUCGCGGCCUAUCAGCUUGUUGGUGGGGUAAUGGCCUACCAAGGCGGCGACGGGUAGGCGGCCUGGGAGGGUGGACGGCAGCAUUGGGACUGCGAUACGGCCCAGACGACUACGGGAGGCAGCAGUGGGGAAGAAUGCACAAUGGGCGGAAGCCUGAUGCAGCGACGCCGCGUGGGGGAUGACGGCCUUCGGGUGGUAAACUCCUUUCGACCGCGAGGAAGCCACCUGGUUGGAAGGGUGGUGACGGUAGUGGUAGAAGAAGCACCGGCUAACUACGUG
rnacentral:rRNA from 1 species